rnacentral:lncRNA from 1 species
UAAAAAAAACUAAAGAUUGAACGUAGAAGAGAAAAGAAAAAAAACGAAACCGAAAUUGUAACCAGAAAAAAACUGGGGAAAUCACCUUUUGGAACUUUUUUUGAUUUCUGUAUAUCAAAAAAAUCUGUGUAUUGAAUGCCUAACCCCUUUUAUAGUGUCCGAAUAGCCUUCUUAUACCUGAUUUACAGAAAAUGAAGAAAAAUUGUGAAAAAAAUAUCAAUCCCCCCAAUUUUCCUAUCUGUUAUUUUCCUAUUUGCUGUUGUUUUCGUCUUCUUUGCAGGUACAAAGGCCAGCUGGUGUAUGGAGGUGGCCGUACGGAGGCAUGCGUGCGGGCAAGGUAUCACUCGCGUGAGGAGUGGCUCGAAAGAGAGCCCGUGCGUGGCAGCGGCAGUUGAAGGGUUCCAGAAACCCUAGUGAUUUCUAGAAUACUCUUUCCAGAUGGGCUAAUUGGGCUGAAUCGGGCUUCGGGUUAGGGUAGCGAAUUUGGGCUUGAAUUUUGGGUUUAAUGAUCUGGGUUUAUAUUUUUGUAAAUGGACAUUUUGGGAUAUUUAAUUAUUUUUUGGUCUUUAUUUCUUAAUGAUUUUGGGCCCGGGGAAAGUGGGCCUAUUACAGCUGCCCCUCUUUACUCGUUGUCGUGUAACGAGAAUAGAGUAAAGACUAAAGAGGACCAAUCUUGCCCGGUCGUGCUUGGACUUUGGUGCUCUUCUACAAGUAGCCUCAUUCCAUCCUACUGCAUCUUCAGAGGUAUAGGAAUUGGUACUUCAAUCCACUUCACUGUAAUAUCAGGGAGAUAGGAUUUGUAACUCGUAACUUUUGGAAAGUAAAAUUCGCUAUUGUGGCUUUUAAUCUACAAUAUCGGGGAAGCAUGUUUCGCUGUUGUGGCUUUAAUCUGUUCCACUACAUCGCUUGUGAGAUAAGAUCUGUGAUUCCUCGGUCUAUUUUACUGUAAUCUCAGGGAGAUAAGACCUGAUGCGAUCUACUCUGCUGUAACUUCAGAGAGAUAAGAUCCUUUAUUUUAAUUCGCUCCACUGUAAUCUCAGUGAGAUAGGAUUAUUAGAUUCAAUCUGCUCCGCUGUAAUCUCAGGGAGAUAAGAUUUCUGGCUUCAAUCUGAUGCGAUCUACUCUACUGUAACUUCAAAGAGAUAAGAUCCUCCAUUUUAAUCCGCUCCACUGUAAUCUCAGGGAGAUAGGAUUACUAGCUUCAAUCUGCUCCGCUGUAAUCUCAGGGAGAUAAGAUUUCUAGCUUCCAUCUGAUGCGAUCUACUCUAUUGUAACUUCAGAGAGAUAAGAUCCUCCAUUUUAAUCCGUUCCACUGUAAUCUCAGGGGGAUAGGAUUACUAGCUUCAAUCUGUUCCGCUGUAAUCUCAGGGAGAUAAGAUUUCUGGCUUCCAUCUGAUGCGAUCUACUCUAUUGUAACUUCAGAGAGAUAAGAUCCUCCAUUUUAAUCCGCUCCACUGUAAUCUCAGGGAGAUAGGAUUACUAGCUUCAAUCUGCUCCGCUGUAAUCCUAGGGAGAUAAGAUUUCUGGCUUCCAUCUGAUGCGAUCUACUCUGUUGUAACUUCAGAGAGAUAAGAUCCUCCAUUUUAAUCCGCUCCACUGUAAUAUCAGGGAGAUAGGAUUGCUAGCUUCAAUCUGCUCCGCUGUAAUCUCAGGGAGAUAAGACUUGUGGCUUAAAUCUACUUCCUUACACUUGAAGAUAAGAUUUGCCGUCUUUGAUCUGCUCCGUUAUUGCUUAGGGAGAUACGAUCUGUAAUUUCCCAGAUCUGUUCUCUAGGGAACAUGACCUGUAUGCCUAAUGAUUAGGAUGACAUGAUCAAAAUGAAUCAAAUGCUCCUAACUAGACAUGUGAAUAAUGUUUGCAUGAAUGCAGAGUUUUAUUUUGUUCGAAAAUGAUCCUACUUAGGUUGUCGUUACUCGAAAUUUAUCAAGGCUUUAACACUGACGUGCUACAACGCCUUCUCGCUUGACUGGCUUUUCUGAAAACAUUUAGCUAGGUUGCCCCCUAUUGUAAACCUUAAAGUUUAAUCCAUUAGGGCGCAGAAUUUGUGCCAUCAUUCUCCCACUGCAAUCCAAGGGUAGAAAUAGGUGGCUUUUCCUCAACCCUCUCUUAUCACAAUUCAAGGAUAUAGGAUCUGAAUCAUUCUGGUUUCUUACACCAUUUUCAAGGUGUCACACCAGGGACUUAUGCGUAGAUGAAAGCCCUUUCGAAGUAACCUCUUCCUCUUACCUAGUGGUCAUUGUUUGCUUGUUUACUUAAGCUUCGUCAUCAAUAUGGCAUCUUGCCAAUCAAUGCAUUUGACAACAAAAUCCAAAGAGAAAGUCCAAAUUUAGACUCCUCUUUCUCAAAUUUCCAAUCUUUAAAUUUGGGUGUGUUCUAAACAAUAGUCCUGUCUCAGGCUCCUAUAUUAUUUAGAAACUUUUAGAGUAAUAUGCAAAACUUCUUUUCCGAAAGUUUUAUUAGUCCAUUAAUCAUUAUUCUAAUGCAACAUGUUUGCAUAAAAGGUCAUAGCAAUAGAUAAGAAUAAAUUUGGUACUGAACAUAGUUAAAAAUGAAUAAGUUAUCACAAAUAGUAAAGGAAUUGAUUGGGAAUGUAUAUCUUGGAAAAGAGAAAAAAAUAUUCCAAGAAUCAACAAAUUCAAUAAUAGGAGAAUUAAGUUCCUCAUAUAUCGCAGCUUGAACUUCUCUAUACAAACUUUCUAAAGGCCAUUCUGAGUUUGACAUGUGUUUAGGAGAUCUUCAGUACUUUGUCGAUGCCCUAAGACGUCGCCUAUCCCUUCAUGUUGAUUCAGGCAUAGCAAGAUUGCCACACGCCCCAAUCUGAUCAAGAUACAAGCUGCUCUUAAACACUUCAUGCCCCAUUCUGACCAAACAUUUGAGCCGCCCUUUUCGGGUUUUCAACUCAAAUCCUCUUUGGCCUAAGGUGCCCUUUGCGGGUUUUCCCCUUAGCCUCUCCAUUUUUAUCAUCAUUUUUUUUGGGAUCAAAGCGCUCUUUGUGGGUUUUCACUCUGGUUCCUUUUCUUCAAGUGAAGUAUUUCUUAACUGAGUCUGAACUUACGGGAUUGGGCAAGUCUUUUCCAUCUAUCUCACUUAGAAUCAAAGCUCCACCAGCGAAGGCCUUCUUUACGACAUAAGGACCCUUCCAAUUUGGCAUCCAUUUUCCUCUAAAGUCCUUUUGCAUAGGAAGAAUCUUUUUUAGCACCAAGUCUCCUUCGCUAAAUUCUCUGGGGUGAACCUUUUUAUUAUAGGCUCGCAUCAUUCGUUUCUGGUACAUUUACCCAUGAUGAAUAGCUUUUAACCUUUUCUCCUCUAUUAGAUUCAGCUGAUCAUAACGAGAUUGGACCCAUUUGGCCUCGUCCAACUGGAGUUCAGAUAAUACCCGUAGAGAGGGGAUUUCAACUUUGAUGGGUAAUACUACCUCCAUUCCAUAAACUAGAGAAAAAAGGUGUUGCCCCAGUAGAAGUUCUAACAGAUGUUCGAUUGGCAAGGAGAGCAAAUGAUAACUUCUCAUGCCAAUCUUUGUAAGUCUCAGUCAGUUUCCCCACAAUUCUUUUAAUAUUCUUAUUGGCCGCCUCCACUGCGCCAUUCAUUUUUGGAUGAUACGGCGAUGAGUUAUGAUGCUUGAUCUUAAAUUGGCUGCAAACCUCAGCUAUUGUGUUAUUGUUCAAAUUCAACGCAUUGUCGGAUAUGAUUCUCUCAGGCAUUCCAUAUCGACAAAUAAUCUCAUUUUUCAAGAAUUUACUAACUGCUGACUUCGUGACAUUUGCGUAAGAAGCAGCUUCUACUCACUUGGUAAAGUAAUCAAUGACUACGAAGAUGAAACGAUUCCCAUUAGAAGCCUUCGGUGAUAUCGGCCCAAUGACAUCCAUACCCCACAUGGAAAAUGGCCAUGGUGAGGUCAUAACAUGAAGUGGCGAAGGGGGUGCAUGCAUCUUUUCUCCAUAAAUCUGACAUUUAUGGCAUUUCUUAACGUAAUUAAUGCAAUCCCCUUCCGUAGUGGACCAAUAGUACCCAAAUCUCAUGAUCUGUCUGGCCAUGGUGAAGCCAUUGGCGUGUGUCCCACAUAUACCCUCAUGGACUUCCUCUAGAAUUUUCUUAGCUUCCACGGCAUCCACACAUCUUAACAGUACCUGAUCUUUUCUUUUUUUGUAUAGCACUUCCCCAUCUAAGACAUAUUCGAUGGCUAUUCUUCUCAGAGUUCUCUUGUCGUUCUCUGUUGCCUGGCUAGGGUACUCCUGAUUCUUCACAUACUGUAGGAUACUCCGAUACCAAGGGUGAUCAUCUUUUCCCUCCCCCUCAAUAUUGUAGCAAUGAACUGGGGUUUCAUAGAUACUCAUCUGAAUAGGCUUCAUUACUUCAAGCUUGUUCACCUGAAUCAUCGAAGCCAGAGUAGCCAAUGCAUCAGCCAUUUGAUUUUCCUCUCGUGGGAGAUAGCUGAAGGUGAUGUCAUCAAACUCGUCAAUCAGUUCAAGAACCAGUUCUUUAUAAUUGAUCAAUUUAGUGUCUCUGGUUUCCCACUCUCUUUUGAGUUGGUAUAUCACCAACGCGGAAUCUCCAUACACUUUAAGCACUUUGAUUUUACGUUCAAUGGCUGCACGAAUACCCAUAAUACAUGCUUCAUAUUCUGCUAUGUUAUUUGUGCAAUCGAAGUCCAACUUGCUAGCGACAGGAUAAUGAUCUCCAUUUGGGGAUACCAAGACUGCCCCAAUUCCGUUACCUGUAGCAUUUGAAGCUCCAUCAAAAUUUAACUUCCAGAUGUGGUCUAUUCGGGGGUUUUCCUCAGUGUUUGCCACGUACAAUAAGUCCUCAUUUGGAAAAUCAAAGUUCAAAGGCUCAUAGUCUUCUAGGGCUCUGCUGGCUAGAAAAUCAGCUAUUGCACCUCCUUUUAUAGCCUUCUGACUUACAUAUACUAUGUCAAAUUCAGAGAGCAGAAUUUGCCAUCUAGCCAUUCUCCCAUUUAAAGCAGUUGAUUCCAUCAUGUACUUUAAAGGAUCUAACUUUGAAAUCAGCCAAGUCGUAUGGUACAACAUGUAUUGCCUUAAUCUUCAGGUCGUCCAAAUUAAAGCACAACACAACUUUUCAAUGGACGAGUACUUCAUUUCACAAUCAGUGAAUUUCUUGCUGAGAUAGUAUAUUGCUUUCUCUUUCUUCCCUGUUUCGUCAUGUUGGCCCAAGACGCAUCCCAUGGAAUUGUUAAACACCGUUAGGUAUAAUAUCAAUGGCCUAUCUGGACUAGGCGAUGAUAGUAUUGGCGCAUUAGCCAAGUAUUGUUUUAUUUUGUCAAAAGCUCUCUGCAUUCCUCAUCCCAUUCCCCCAGAUUAUGCUUUUUCAGAAGGCGAAACAGUGGAUCGCAUUUCUCGGUCAAUUGUGAAAUGAAACGAGCAAUGUAGUUCAACCUUCCUAAGAACCCUCGGACCUCUUUCUGGUUGUUUGAAGAAGGCAGAUCUCGUAUUGCUUUAACUUUAUCCGGGUCAAUCUCAAUCCCCUUCUUACUGACUAUGAAGCCCAACAACUUUCCUGAUCUGGCUCCAAAUAUGCAUUUUGCUGGGUUGAGUUUGAGCUGGAAUUUUCUCAAUCUCAAGAACAACUUCCUCAAGACUCGGAGAUGAUCCUCUUCAGUUCUAGAUUUUGCAAUCAUAUCAUCAACAUUUAUCUCAAUUUCUUUGUGCAUCAUGUCAUGAAACAGGGUAACCAUUGCCCUUUGAUAUGUUGCUCCUGCAUUCUUCAAUCCAAAUGGCAUUACUUUGUAACGAAAUGUUCCCCAUAGGGUAAUGAAAGUGGUUUUCCUCAUGUCCUCCGUGUGCAUCUUUAUUUGAUUGUAUCCAGAAAAGCUGUCCAUGAAAGAAAACAAGGAGUAGCCAGCCGUGUUAUCAACCAAAGUGUCAAUGUGCGGCAGCGGAAAAUUGUCUUUUGGACUCGCCUUAUUCAGGCCCCUGUAAUCCACACACAUCCGUACCUUUCCAUCCUUUUUAGGAAUAGGGACGAUGUUUGCUACCCAUUCUGAGUACUUAACCUCCUGUAAGAACCCAACAUCGAACAGCUUUUUGACCUCCUCUUUUAUUUUCAGCACAACAUCAGGUCUCAUUCUUCUGAGCUUCUGCUGAACUGGUUUGAAAUCCUCUUUUAUAGGUAAACGAUGUACCACAAUGCUAGUAUUUAACCCCGACAUAUCCUGGUAGGACCAUGUGAAAACAUCUUUGAACUCUCGGAGUAACUCAACGAGGUUAUAUUUCGUCUUAGAAGUGAUAUCAGUUCUGAUUUUCACCUCUUUCCCUUCCUCUAGGCUCACAAUUUCUAAUGAUUCCUUAUGAGGUAGGAUCCGCUUAUCCUCUUGCUCCACCAUUCUCAACAAGUCCGGAGGUACACCACAGUCUUUAUCAUUUUCAAAGUCAUGAGAUCCUUCUAAACACAUGUCUUGCUCAAAAGGAGACUCCGUGUUUGAAACAACAUCACUCAUGUCAUUGAUAUCUGAAGACCUAUGGGGAUACACCAAAUAAUACGCAAAGUAUAAAUUUAUGAAUAAUUAUUUGUAUGAUUAGGUUAUAAAUAAAAAAAUAUUUGGAACACAAUUAAUCAAAUGGAAGAUAUUUACUUGCUUGGAAAGAAUAAAAGAAUAAUUGCUCGAAAUGAAUGCAAAAAUGCAUUUUAUUAGGAUAAAGAUAUUCAGACUUAAGCCUACUUCACAAAUGAUUUCUUGUCAUUCUUAGGCUAAAAACAACAAUAAUGUUUUGAACAUUACUCUGCAUAUGCUCUAAAGACUACAAGUAUUUCUUUCGCAGUCCAAUUGUUUAGCUCACUCCCAGGUUCGUAUGGGCCGAUCUCCAGCAAGGACCUUCUUUCAGCUGUCUCUAUAGCAUUGAUAUGAACUUUCUCCAUCAUUCCUUCAAUGCCUUCACUUCUAGACACCCCUCACUCAGGGUAAAUAAAUCCCCUUGACACAAAUGAUUCAGAUAUGUGAGGAAAGGUCAAAGGCUCCCACUUGACUUCCUCUCCGCUUAGUCGUGCCCUUCUUCUCUCUUGCCUUUUCUCCACUUCUUUUCUCCUUUGUUUCAAAUCUGGCUUGUAACCUAAGUCAAAACGAUCAAACUUCCCUUUCAGCAUGGGUGCUUCAACCCUUCUUUGCAAGUACUUUCCCAACCCUUUUCUUGGCGAAGCUCCUCUUCCUACCAACAACUGCAGACCCAUUUCAGUAGUCUUGGAUAUUUUUGGUACCAGGAUCCUGUUUCCUUCAGUGAUAAACAUUGCGUUCACAAAUUCCAAAGACCGGAAAGAACAUUCCACUGCCUCAUCAUUGGUCUCUACAUAAGGCGCAUCACCCGUUACCAUUGCGAUAAUAUCCUCCUUUGCAUUUAUUGUCACCAAUCGACCCUCUGAUAUUAGCUUCACCUUCUGAUGUAACGAUGAAGGCACUGCCCCAGCCGAGUGUAUCCACGGUCUCCCCAAUAAACAAUUGUAGGAAGGCUUAAUAUCCAUUACUAAAAAGUCCACCUCAUAAGUAAUUGGGCCAAUUCUUAACGGUAUUUCAAUUCUUCCUACAACUCUUCUUUCUGUUCCAUCAAAUGCCCUUAUUAUAUUAUGGCAGGGUUUCAUAUGAGAACUGUCCACAGGUAAUCGAUUAAGAGUGGACAAAGGCAAUACAUUCAAUGCGGAUCCAUUAUCAAUCAAAACCCCCGGUAUUGUGUCCCCCUGGCAUCGGGCAGUAAUGUGUAGAGCCUUAGUAGAACCCCUACCUCCAGACGGUAUUUCGUCAUCGUUGAAGAAGAUGAAAUUGUCACCACUUAUAUUGUUGACCAAAUGAUCCAAUUUAUUGACUGAGAUGUCCUCGACCAUAUAUGUUUCGUUUAGUACUUUCAUCAGCGCAUUUCGAUGUACCUCCGAACUUAGGAGCAAAGCUAAUAUAGAAAUACGGGCCGGUUGUUUGUGCAGUUGCUCCACAACACUGUAUUCACUGUGUUUUAAAAAUUUCAAAAACUCAUUUGCUUCCUCCUCUUUUAUUGGUUCAUUAACCAUUGGCUCAGAUUCCACCGCUUUCCCUUUCCUCUGCUCCACCGUCAAAGUCAUUUCUCUUGGCAAUUCUACUCAAGUGUCAUAGCGCUUCCCAUUACGUGUAUAGGAACCCAUUUCCUGGUAUUAUUUUACCAUACUGCUCUCAACUUCCUUUCCUGAGAUUGUCACAUUGCAUCCGUAAUUCCACGGGACCAUUUUGUCAUCCUUAUAUGUGAAACUUGACGGUUUCGUGAUUACAAUUUUUGGUGUUACUUGAGCCCUAGCCUCAUUACUCUUAGGGCAUGAGAUAAUAACUACAGGAUGAUUUAUUUUCGGGGUCCCUGUUCCCGACUUUGUCGCGCAUAUGCUCCUCCUUUCUUCCGCAUCCUCAUAGAACCCCAUCUCCCUGUUAUCCAUCAUACUUUGAACCAAAGCCCUGAAUCCUUCACAUUCUUGGAUUUCGUGCCCUAUUUUAUGGUAGAAUUCACAAUAAUUUCCCAUCUCAUACCCUUCCUCCACAUCUAAAAUAACUAACCCUCUUUUUGUCAUCUCCUUCCAUACCCGUUUCAAUGGAGUUCUUACUUCAGCGACGUCAGUCUUAACUCCUUCUCCCGUACCCACGCUCAACAUAUUCACUCCCUUAUCAUCAUGAUAGGGCAAUGGACCCUCGGUGCUGGGUGAGUCAUCAAAUUUGACAACACUAAUUUUAUAAGUCCUUCUACAACAUUCUUGAAAGCGAUACAAUUUCUAUUGAGUGUCCUGUAAUCCCCGCAUGGUAGUCACACUGAGCGUUCGCGUCAUACCAUUUUGGAUACGGGGGUUGUAGAGGACUCAGGUAACGAGGGGCAACAACAUGUGCAUUAAAUAACUUUUGAUACAGCUCUUUAUAUAUCAUUGGAAUGGGAGUGAAUUGAGGCUUCUCAGUAUUUUGCCUCGUUUCCGAUUCUGGUUUCGAUGAGCCUUGCUGGUUAGCAACCAUCUUCCCUGGUUGGUUCACUGUAAUUGAUUUACUAUAUGCGUUCACAUUGUUUACUUCCCCUUCUCUUUUCUUUGAAGCUGACCUUUGACUAUUCUCCCCACCAUCUAUUUUUCCACUUUUAAUGGCGUGUUCAAUCAUUUCACCAUUCAUAAUUAUAUCCGCGAAACUCUUCGAGGCACUUCCUAGCAUGUGCGUGAUAAAUGGCGCCUUCAAUGUGUUGAUGAAAAGCAUCGUCAUUUCUUUUUCCAAAAGUGGUGGCUGGACUUGAACUGCAAUCUCUCGCCACCUCUGUGCAUACUGUCUAAAACUUUCAUUUGAUUUCUUUUCCAAGUUCUGCAAAGUAAUUCUAUCAGACAUUAUUUCAGAUACAUGACUGUACUGUCUCAUGAAAGCCUGUGCCAAAUCUCUCCAAGUGUUGAUUUUGGCCCGGCUUAACUGAUUAUACCAUUUAAACGCCGCCCCAAUGAGGCUAUCCUAAAAACAAUGUAUUAACAGUUGAUCAUUGUUAAUGUACCCGGUCAUUCUCUUACAGAACAUUGUAAUAUGGGCCUCCGGGCAACUGGUCCCACUAUAUUUCUCGAAUUCCGGCAUCUUAAAUUUAUAAGGAAGCACCAAGUCUGGGACCAGACUCAGAUCUUUUGCAUCUAUUCCAUGAUAGCUUUCAGUGUUUUCUAUCGCAUUGAACUUCUCCUCAAUCCACUUCCAUUUCUCCUCAAACUAUUUUGGUAAUUCUUCUUUUUCUUUAUCCUUCUCGGCUACUUCAUCGAAGUCCAAGAUAGCGAGAUUAACUGGGUUUUCACCAGGGUUGGAACCUGACCCAACUUAGGAGUUCAUCGGUAUUGGAAUAUCGGCUUGAAAACGUUGAGGUCUUAUUGAAACAGAGGAUCUACGUGGAGGCACCUCAGUCUGAACCUGCGCAUGCGGGGGCGUAAAGCCUGGAGGAUAGGUGGGUCCAGUCUUGUAUUCUUCUUCAUCAUUGAUCAUAGGGCCUUUCCCCUUAUUUAAUCCUUUUAAUAAUUGCGUCAGCUCAGUCAUCAUAUCUUUUUGAGUCUCCAGCAUCUUUUCUGUCAUGUCAUGUUGAAUUUUUUCCAAUUGUUCCUUCAUUUGUAUCUGUAACUGAUCUUGCAUUUCCUUUUGAAGUCACUCCAACUUUUCCAAUCGUUGAUCCAUAAUUUUUUAUUUUGCACGGGUACCGUAGCGGUGUUUGGUUGAUGAGUUUUUGUUAGUUUCCAGAUUAACUGUAAUGAUUAAUCAAUUAGGUUCUUUCAAUGGACCUUAAUGCAUAUGAUUCAAUGUAAUGCGAUGCAUGAAUGCAAAGAGGCGUCGAUUCUGAUUCAAUUUCAUUUAGAAAACUUUCACUAGAAAAUAAAAUUCUUUACAUAAAACAGGUUACAUAUAUGCUCUUGCCCUAAUGCUCAGAGCUUUAAUUUUCCUAAGUAAUGAAGCUAAUUCCUAUUCUCGAGUUGAUUCCAGUUCACACUUGACGCUCAGUGCAUCGGCCUGUACCGCCAAAGUCUGCAGGUGAUUAGCUACCUCCCAGAUCUGAACCACGGCUUCACCCAUGAUACGAUCUCUAUUUUCAACCUAAUUCUGAAGACAGUAAAGUUGCUCAUUCUGACGACUUUUAUUGGUUUCCAAGUACUCAGUCCGGAUCUCACAACUUCGCAAUGUCGAUUCCAAUUCUUCUAUUCUUCCUUUCAUUUCUUCGAUUUUUCCCAAGCUCGCCCUUAAUUUCAUCACGAAAUUUUGACUUCGAUACUGAUGGAGAGAUCUUUCCAACUAAACCACUCUAUCCUUUAAUUCGCAUUUUUCCUUUUAGCUCUCUGAUAAACUCCUUUCUAGAGCUCCAUUUCGUGUCUGAACCUCUCGAAAUUUCUUUUCCCAUCCAUCAGCCCUGAUCUUUUCUUCCCGAAUCUCUUGGCGCCAUUGCUCUGGAGUUUUUCCUAGCCCAACGGUUCUUAUUGAUAGCCUCAACUUCUUGUAGUCUGUCUUCAAACUAUCCAAGUCUUCCUCAGCCUUAUUCUUUCCCUUUCUUAACUUCUCUGUCUGUAACUUUUGAACAUCCACGUCUAAUCCUAAGUGCAUCUUUUCUUCUUCCAACUGCUCGAUCCUUUUUUCAAGCUCUGCAUUCCUCUUCUCAAAAUCGUGUUUCAUAAUUUCUAGUUCGGAGGGAACAACCCGCAAAUGUUCUUCUAUUGACUGACUAUCUCCUUGACUUGGCCUUGGGAUGUUAUCAUUGAUUCUUCUGACGCACCAAUCAUUAUAUUCAGGAGUCAUCAUCGGGCUUACGACUAAUCUCUUCAUCCGUCAAGUCUGGUCCCAUGCAUUGGUUAUCUCUCGAAUCUUAUUUUUAUAUCCAUUGUCUCUAUAUGAGAAUUUGAACUCAGCUAAGCCUUGGGUUGCAGGUAUAAACUGCCUUGACCUGUACUGUCUUAGCACCAACAAUGGAGCAUAACCAAUCGCUCCCCAAAUUCCAAGUAACGGGACCCAAUCAAAGUUACCACAUCGGUACAAGAUUUCAUCCGGAAGCAACCAUGGGGCUCUCCACUCAACGUCCUCUUCACGAAGAUUCUGAAGAAUGAGCAGCCAUUUCUCUUCCGAGAUGUCAUUUCUCCUUGGUGUAGCUGCUAUCUCCUUUAACAGCGAAUAAUUUUCAGAAAAAACUCGAUACGAAACCUUAUCAACUUUCCAAAAAUGACUAUAGAACCAUGCCAGUAGAAGUUGCACACACCCAAUGAAUCUGCCUUCCCCUGCCCUUCGACACGCAUUUAAUGACCUGAAGGUUUCUGCCAAAAUUGCUGGAACAGGUGUAACUCUCUUAUCAAGUCGGUCAAAGAGAUCAGAGGUUGCCUCAUCUACGUGCCCUAGUGCCUUAGGGAAAAUUACUAGCCCAUAAAUGCUUAGAGCAAAGGUAUCGACCCUUUUCCUCGUAUCAGGGUGCCCCAAAAUCAACUCCUGCAGGCUUUUCCAAGGGAUACAUUUGCUUUCCCCCUUCUGCUUGAUCCGUGCCGUGACCCAUUGCUCACUCAUUCCAGUGAUGUUCAUCAACUUCUUUAUAAAGGUCGGAACAUUAACGACCCUAGAGUAUAUUUUAUCAACCUGGAUCUUUGGACAACGUAGCAAAGCUAUAUAUUCUUCUAUAGUGGGUACCAAAUCAACCCCACAAAAGGUAAAGCAAUCAUAUGCGGGGUUCCAAAACUGAGCGAUGGCCCGGAACAAAUGCACAUCUACCUCAAUGUCGAGUAAAUGCGGUAAAUCUCCAUAACUUGAGUUAAACAAUUGCUUGGUUUUUUCAUUCCAAUGGUCCCAUAUUACCUUUAAUUCCUGAAGGCUAUUUGCGUCACACUGAUACAUGUGUAGUCCCAUAACUCUGAUGUAUACCCCCGGCUAGACUAUCUCCUUUUUCUGAUUGUGUUUUCUCUGACCAUACACAGACAGCAGCAUUGUCCUAUACUUUAUCAAGAAAUCCGUUCUCCAUGCCAAGCUUUCUAACUUAGUAAUCAAACCUGAAUCAACACUCUUUUGUAUAUGAAAUGACAUGCAAACAUAAAAACAUAAGUUAGUGCAACACAAAAAAACGCAACUUUAAGUAAGUACAAAAAUUAAACACCUAUCAGGGCAAUUGCUAGGGUUUCCGUAGUAUAAUCAAGGAUGGGCUCCUAGGUCUCUCUACAUGCAGCUUGGUUCUAAAGUCGAGACACCCGAACCAAUAGAUUCCUCGAUCCUCACCCAUUAUAGGCUCAUAUGGACCGAGUUCAGUUUAGGGGAACACAUUUCCCUAUGACUGCACGGAGAUGAAAAUCUCACGAAAACAUAGGUAUGGAUGUAUCCCGGAAGUGAUCCACUAUCCUGCACGGAGGUGAAAACCUCACGAAGGACUAGUUUCUCACUUCCACUUAAGAGGACAAGACUAAAAUGUCUUAUGCAAUAUGAUGCCAAAAUAUACAACUCAAUUUACAAUAAUCAUGCAAGCAAGUGCAAAGAAAAGAUCGUAAAUUUUUUAAAUCAAAUCUCGAUAAUAAGACAAAAAAACAAUCAAUUUUAUAGCCUGACUCUCUAAUCGUCCCCAGCGGAGUCGCCAAGCUGUCGGAACCAUCUUUUAAAAUUGAAAAAUGGGGAUCGACUUUGAAAAUAGAAACAGGAGUCGCCACCGAUCUUUUAUUGAGAUGUGAUCGGAUCACCUUGAAAAUAAUUUUAGGUCUACGAAUUUUGAGAAGAAAAAAAGGUUCGGGAGUCGGUUACGCACGAGGAAGGGUUAGCACCCUCGUAACGCCCAAAAUUGGUACCAAAUUGAUCAUUUUAUGUCUUAGUGUUAAAACUUUGGAAAACCUUUUAAAAUAUGAACCUUCCCCUUUCUUACUAAUUUCCUAAAAGAUGCAUGGAUAAAUCGAUGCGAAUACCAAAGACCUCCUUAUCUUAGAGUAAUAAAAUGGCACACCCAAUACGUUAGGGCACGACAUUUUUAGUCCUCGAGAAUAAGUUUGUCCUUUGCAUUUCAAAAUUUGCGAGGUGAGAUUUAAAAGGAUAUUCAAUUGCUUUAAGUCUAAUGAAAACAUUGAAACCCAAUACAUUAGGGCACGAUUUCUCAAAGUUUCGAGCAUUGAAUAUUGCAUUGAUUAUUUUCUUAAAAAAAACUUAUUUCGAGAAAUCGACGCAUCACAUCCAAUACAUUAGGACACGACUUAUCGAAUUCUCGAAAAUGAGUUUUAUGUAUAUUGAUUAAAGAAAACUUUCGAUUAUUUGGAUUCAACGAGGAAAAUUGGAACCCAAUACAUUAGGGCUCAAUUUUCUCAAAGAUCAUAAAUACUAGGCUUUUUUUAUAUGAAAUAGCAUGACAAAGGUGCAAAGUUUGAUAACGUAAUGUAAAACGAUGAAUGAUAAUUCAAACAUAAACUAAGAUGUAGUCAAAUGAGCAACAAAUAAAUACAAAUACAAUGGCAACAAUAAUUUACUCACAUUAUACAAUAUCUAAAUAUAUAAUUAUGUCUAAUCUACCACAAUGGGUAUUAAUAAAUGAUAAAAUUUACAACCAUAUGGAAAAUUAAAAAGGGUAUAUAUAUAUGUAAAAAAAUGAUAUAAUAUUUAAUGAGUUUAGGAUGUAUUUAAAUAUAACAAUUUGAAGGGAUUUAGGUAUCAUUUUUAAAAUAUAUAUGCAUUAAAAGCAAAUUUGAAAGUAGUAUUAAGCUAAAAAUUUAAAAUAAUACUAGAAAUAAUGAAUAUAAAGUUGAUUCAUAAAAACUUUUGAAAUCGAAUUUUAUUAUGUAAAGACCCCCUUUUUUAUAAUUGAAAACAAUAAUUAAUGGAUUUUAAAUCAAAUUUUAAUUAAAAUUAAAAAAAUAAAAGAAAAUAAUAAACCCCAAAUAUUAGUGCAAAAACGAAUUUAAACAUAAAAUACAAGUUAAAAUAAUGAUUUAUUAUAUUUUAAACUAUAAUAAAAUUAAACACUAUUAAAAUUAAAACAGUUAUACCGAAAUGAAAUCAUUUUCAAUCUUAAGGGACUCAAUCAGCAAUUUCGCGCAAACAAUAGUAUAAUAGCAAUCAGGCGUAAAACGGUGUCACUUUACUUUGGAUCAACAUGCAAACAAAAUUAAAUACGCAGUAUAAAUUAAAAGAACUAAAGUAACCGAAUUAAGACUAAUUCAAACUAAGAGGGGCUCGGGGCAUAAAUAGGCCAAACGAUUCCAUGAAACGCGGAUCCUUCCCGGACCGGGUCACCACUUAGAUCGGGUCUAUGAAACGGUGCCGUUUCAGUGCCUUGUAUUGGCUCUGAACGGCAGCGUUUUGAAAUCAGAUACUUAAAAUCUAAAAACCUAAAACCUAUCAUUUAAAAUAAGAAAAACCUAAGCUAAAGAAGGGCUCUACGCCGCAUCAGAAAUCAACAGCCCCCCCAUCCGUUUGCGCCGUUCUGCGUACCAGGGGGCCUGCGGAGAGUCUCCGAUUCCGACCUACUCUCCGAUGACGACGGAGGAGGCCGGAAUCCCUCUGCCAGGUACGCUUUCCUCCUCUCUUUAUCGUUUUCUCGCUUUAAAAAAAACUAAAGAUUGAACGUAGAAGAGAAAAGAAAAAAAAAAGAAACCGAAAUUGUAACCAGAAAAAAACUGGGGAAAUCACCUUUUGGAACUUUUUUUGAUUUCUGUAUAUCGAAAAAAAUCUGUGUAUUGAAUGCCUAACCCCUUUUACAGUGUCCGAAUAGCCUUCUUAUACCCGAUUUAGAGAAAAUGAAGAAAAAAUAGCGAAAAAAAUAUCAAUCCCCCCAAUUUUCCUAUCUGUUAUUUUCCUAUUUGCUGUUGUUUUCGUCUUCUUUGUAGGUACAAAGGCCAGCUGGUGUAUGGAGGUGGCCGUACGGAGGCAUGC